ensembl:lncRNA
CUCGGCUGGGGGUUGACAAACAUGUUUUAUACACCUUUGAGGCCAACAGUUUCUAGGCCCCCCCUAUGGGGUAGAACUAGUAAAGCAAGCAAAAGGUACAGAAGCAGAACGUCCUGCUGUUGGAACAUUUGUAAAACAAUAGUUGAUUAAUUGUUGUUUCUAAGAGACUCUCUAAGGGGAGGAGGUUUCUAAACUUCCUCCUUCUGAGUUCAUCUAAAGGGCAGGGAGGUGGGUCAAGCAGCAAUAUGGAGUCUGUCUUGCUAACAAGGGUCCUUCACAACGAAGUAACAUUUCGCUUGAGACUGUGGAGGACCGCGCGCCCAAACGGUGAGAUUUGAAAGUCCACAGAAGAUUUCUAUUUCCACAAAGCAUCAGAGAACUAACAAGGCAAUGAAUAAUUAUGGGACCAACAUCUAAGAGAAAACUAGUAAAAGUGAGCCUGGGAUGUGUGCUGCUUUUUCCUAGGGGCAACUGCCAGUUCCAGGUGAGUGGCUGUGAGGCUAAGGAUCUGAUCUCUGUGUACCACCCUGCCUAGCUCAAACUUGAAAAUUUUAAGGACAGGCAUGGUGGCACACACCUUAAUCCCAGCACUCAGGAGGCUGAGGCAGGAGGAUUGCCAUGAGUUCAAGGCCAGUCUAGGGUACAUAGUGAGGUCAAGGCCAGCCUAAACUACGUAGCAGGAGGCUGUCGCCAAAACUUAUUUUUGGAAAAUUUUAAAACAUUAACAUUUAUGAUGUCAUUGAAAUAAUUGGGCAUAAAUUUUACAAAAGGACUUUAAAACUUUUACUUUGGAAAUUACAAAAUAUUAUUGAAAUAAAUUAUGGAAAAACUCCAAAUAAAUGGUAUUCAUUGACUGGAAUACUUAAUAUUGGUAGGCAGCAGUAUCCCCCAAACUGAUCUAUACAUCCAUCAUAAUCCCUAUCAGGACUGUCCCUGGCUUCUUUGUGGAGACUGACUCGUUGACUCUAAAAAUUCACAUGGAAACUCAGAAGCCCCAAAAUAGACAAAACAGUCUUGGAAAAAAACAAAAAACAAAACAAACUAAAAACUUGGUUGGAAUACUCAUGCUUCCUACUUUUAAAUUUAAAGCAACAAAGGGCCAGGGAUUUAGCUCAGCGGCACCGCACCUGCCUCAAAAGCACAAGGCCCUGAGUUGGAUCCCCCGUUGAGGGGUGGGGGAUUUAAAGCAACAGUGGGGUGUGGUGAUCCUUAUGUGAAAUCCCAGCACUCUGAAAGGCUGAUGUAGGAGGAUCUUAAGUUUGAGCUCAGCUCGGGAAAUUUAGUGAUUUAGCAAGACCCUCUCUUGAAAAAAAAAAAAAGGCUGGGGGCCAGGGAUUUGGCUUAUUGGUUCCACCACCUGCCUCAGAGGCUCAAGGUCCCAAGUUCAAUCCCCGGUACCAAAAAAAAUAGGCUGGGGAUGUAGCUCAGUGUGAAGGCCCCUGUGAACUUCAGUACCCAGAAUUGGGGGGAAAAAAAGUGCAACAGUAAUCAAGAGAGUGGAGAGUGUAAUACUGGCAUAAAGAUGUAUACAUCUGUUUCAAGAGAAUAGACUUGAGUCUAGAAACAACCCAGAGGUCUAUGAUCUACUGAUUUUCAGCAAGGCUGCCAAGACUAUUCAAUGGGAGAAAGAUAAUCUUUUCAACAAAUGAGGUUGGGACAUCUGGGUAGACACACAAAAAAUAGUGAAGUUGAGCUCUUACUUUAUACUAUGUACAAAAAUUUACUCAGAUGGGUCAAAGCCAGUCAAGCUGGCAUACAGCUGUCAUUCUUUUUACUUGGAAGGCUAAGGCAGGAAGAUUACUUAAGACCAGGAGUUUGAGACCAGCCUGGGCAACAUAGUAAGAUAUCAUUUCAAACAAAUAGACACUAAAAGGGGCUAGUGUGUGUCUAGCUCAUUAUUUGUUUGUUUUUGUUUUUUGUACUGGGAAUCAAACUCAGGACCUUGGGCUUGUGAGGCAGGCACCAGAACCACUGAGCUAAAUUCCCAGCUAGCUAGCUCAUUGUUAAAAGGCCUGCCUAAUAUGCAAGAACCCCUGAGUUUGAUCCCUAGCAUGGUAAAAAGAAACAAAACCAAAAAAUUCAGAAAACAGUCUUAAAUGUAACAAAAAAGAAAAUCUCUUAGAAAACAAGGGAGUAAGUUUGUAUGACAUUGGAUUUGUAUUCUCUUAAAUAUGAGAACAAAAGCAUAAGCAACAAAAUAAAAAAUAGAUAAAUUAGAUUUCAUCAAAAUAAGAAAGUUUUGUGGGGGAUUUAGGUCAGUGGCUGCCACCUGCCUUGCAAGUGCAAGGUCCUGAGUUCAAUCCCUGGUAAUAAAAAACAAAAGAGGGCCGGGGAUUUAACUCAGUGGUUCCAGCGCCUGCCUCGAAAGCGCAAGGUCCCAAGUUCGAUCCCCGCUACCAAAAAAAAAAAAAAAAAAAGAAAGUUUAAAAAAAAAAUAAGAAAGUUCUGUGAUCUUGUUGUGAUGGCACACACCUAUACAGUAAUCCCAGCACUCAGGAGGCUAAGGCCAAGGCAAGAGGAUCCAUGAGUUACAGGCUAACCUGAGCUACAUAGCAAGACUCUGGCUCAAAAAAGAAAGCAAUGCUGGAUGUGGUGGCACAUGUCUGUAAUCCCAGCAAUUGGGAGGCUGAGGCAGGAAGAUCGCCAUGAGUUUGAGGUCAGCCUGGGGUACAUAGCUCAAGGCCAGCUUGAACUACAUAGUGAGACCCUGUCUCAAAACAAAACAAAACCAAAAACCCCAAAGGACAAUUUAUAAAAGCAGAGAAAAUAUUUGCAAAUUAUGUAUCUGAUAAUGAACUUUCAUUUAGAUUGUAUUAAGAAAUUUUACCAUCCUGCUGCUGGCAAGCACAAGGAAUCGAGUUAGAUCCCCGGUAACUGAAAAAAAAAAAAAAAAAAAAGAAUUUUCACCAAAUUCGAUGGUAACCUGGGUAUGGUAGUGCAUGCUUGUAAUCCCAGCACUCAACAGGCUGAGGUAGAAAGAUCCUGAGUUUGAGGCCACCUUAGGCUAAAUAGAUCAAAACUGGUUUAGAUGACAUAACAAGACCUGGUCUCAAAAAACUAAAAUCCAUGGGCCAGGGAUUUAGCUCAGUGGUUUUGCCACCUCCUGUGCAAGCUCAAGGACCAGAGUUCAAUCCCUGGUACCAAAAAACAAAACAAAACAAAACAAAAAAACACACUAAAAUCUAAAAAACCAAACCAAACCAAACCACACACAAGGCAUCCAUACUCAGGGCAAGACCCUGUCUUUAAAAAAAAAUAAACCCAAACCAUAUCAAACAAAAUAAAAAAACUAAAUUACUAAAUUUAAAAGUUGGCAAAGGGGCCAAAUAAAUGACUCUGUAAAUAAAACAUACAACUGGCCAGUAGCACAUGAAAAUAUGCUCAAUGUACAGUAUUUGGGGAAAUGCAAAUCAAAACUAUAAUAAUACUACUUUAUACACACUAGGAAUAUUACUGGGUGUUUGGGUGGUUGGGACUCCUCCCAGAGGUGCUUUCUAUGUUCUUUCUGUCUUGAACAAAGAAUUGGUCAAGACAAGCACAAAAGGUAGCAAGAUUUUACAUUUAUUAAAGGUAGGAAAAGAUACAUGCUCUGCAAAGUGAUUAUGGGCCAAUUAAAAGUAUGAAAAGAAGUACACUGCAGGUUGAGAGUGGACCAUCAUGAAAGAACUCAGUGGCCAUGAGCUUAAUGGCAAUAAUUUUUAAAAAAAUUUUUAAUUUAAUUUUUUUUUGGUAAUGGGGAUCAAACUCCAGUCCUUGCACUUGCUCGGCAGGUGGCAAAACCACUGAGCUAAAUCCCUGGGCCCCUGGCGCUCUUUUUCCCCCCCUACUCUUCAAGCUGAUGUCAGAUCUAGGCCAUCCUAUUAAAAACCUGCUUGAUUUCUCAUGAGAAGAAUUGAAAACAGCAUGUUCUGAUUGUAUCAGAUGCAGUAUUUGGGCUCAUGUCUCCUGGAUCUCUGUGUUUGACGGGUCACACCUACUUGCCCAGCCAGUUUGGCUAUUCUCUAAUCUUCUGCCUCAUUUCCCUCUGAGAAACAUAAAUCCCCAUAAUUCUUUGUAGGGUGCUGAGGGUGUGGAGGCCUCUAUCUUCACAUAAUGACUACCAGCUGAAAGCGGCUGUAGGCCCUACCUACUGGGUAUUAUGUGCUGUAGACUACUGUACUUUGGGAUGUUUUGGCUCACUGGCUGGGUUGAAAAGGAAAAGAUUCCUGUUAGGAGACAAUGAGAAAAGUUAGUGCCCAUUGUGAGGAACUGCUGAGCUGCCUGUUCAGUGGGAGAAAGCUUGGUGAAUUUAUCAGGAGCAUCAUGGGCUGUAGUCUGGAUCACUAUCUUGAAUGGAUAAACUUUACUAUUAGGUUGAGGAUGCAGAGCUCAAAUAUGAGAAGGAGGAGUUGAGAAUAUUUCCUGGUCAGUCUUAAAAGGUGUGGGCUAUGACAGAUUUAGCAAUUAGAGAUUUCCAUGCUUCCUGCGGUAGAGAAAGUAUGGCAAAGAGGGAUAUUAAAUUACCAAGAGCCUGAGAGCCGUAGCCCUAACAAGAUUACCCACAUUAUGGAUGUAAUUAAAAACAUACAGAUGCCCAUUUAAACUGUGGUGGAUUAGGGGUCAUUUGUAACUCUACUUAUCAGUAUCUGAGGCAGUGCUGGAUUUAUUUUUUGAAGAGGCACCUCA